rnacentral:rRNA from 1 species
UACGUAGGGUGCAAGCGUUAAUCGGAAUUACUGGGCGUAAAGCGUGCGCAGGCGGCUUUGCAAGACAGAUGUGAAAUCCCCGGGCUUAACCUGGGAACUGCAUUUGUGACUGCAUGGCUAGAGUGCGGCAGAGGGGGAUGGAAUUCCGCGUGUAGCAGUGAAAUGCGUAGAUAUGCGGAGGAACACCGAUGGCGAAGGCAAUCCCCUGGGCCUGCACUGACGCUCAUGCACGAAAGCCGUGGGGAGCAAACAGG